GUUUCUUUUCUUUUCUUAGAUUUUAACCUUUCAAAACAUUAAAAUCCACCUUCUUUUUCAUAAGAAUCAACAACCCCAUCAACUAUCAAGUGCAUAUCAUCAAAAAUUGUAGGUUAUCAUUUUGGGGACAUGAUGAGAGUCGAUCUUCUUCAAAUCAAGGUAUCUUUCUUGAAAUUUUGCAAUGGUAUGGAGAUCCUGAUCAUGAUGUUGGAAGCAUAAUUUUAGAAAAUGAUUCAAAAAAUAUAAUGAUGUGUUCUCUAAGUAUUCAAAAAGAUAUUGUUGAUUCUUAUGCUAAAGAAACAAUCAAAGAUGGAGAUUAUUUUGGGAUACUAAUUGAUGAAUCAAAUGAUGUAUCACACAAGGAGAAAAUGGCAUUUGUUAUAAGAUAUGUUAACACAGAAGGUAAAGUGAUAGAGUAAUUUGUUGGUAUUGUUCAUGUUAGUGAUACACCUGCUCAUUUAUUAAAUAAGGUAAUCUACUAUUUUAUAUUAGGUCACGCAUUAAGUCUAUCUCAAAUAUGUGGGCAUGGUUAUGAAGGAGCUAGCAAUAUGCAGGGAGAGAUAACUAGUCUUAAGACUUUGAUUUUUAAUGAGACUUCAUAAGCAUAUUGCAUUCAUUAUUUUUCUCAAUUGUAGUUAAUAAUUAUAGCUCUUGUAAAGGAGAAUUCAAAUGUAUAUGACUUUUUUGUUUAGUUAAUAAUGUGUUAAAUUUUGUUGGAGCA